GAAACGAAGCGGUAUCUCGUUAACCCUUGAAGCCACCGCUUGUUCAGAGAGUUUCGCACUGUUUCUCUCAAAUAACUAAAGCCAACGUGAACUUUUGCGGACCCCGUGGUCCGCA
rnacentral:other from 1 species